rnacentral:rRNA from 1 species
ACCAGGAACCGUACCCCAAACCGACACAGGUGGUCGGGUAGAGAAUACCAAGGCGCUUGAGAGAACUCGGGUGAAGGAACUAGGCAAAAUGGCACCGUAACUUCGGGAGAAGGUGCGCCGGCUAGGGUGAAGGAUUUACUCCGUAAGCUCUGGCUGGUCGAAGAUACCAGGCCGCUGCGACUGUUUAUUAAAAACACAGCACUCUGCAAACACGAAAGUGGACGUAUAGGGUGUGACGCCUGCCCGGUGCCGGAAGGUUAAUUGAUGGGGUUAGCGCAAGCGAAGCUCUUGAUCGAAGCCCCGGUAAACGGCGGCCGUAACUAUAACGGUCCUAAGGUAGCGAAAUUCCUUGUCGGGUAAGUUCCGACCUGCACGAAUGGCGUAACGAUGGCGGCGCUGUCUCCACCCGAGACUCAGUGAAAUUGAAAUCGCUGUGAAGAUGCAGUGUAUCCGCGGCUAGACGGAAAGACCCCGUGAACCUUUACUGUAGCUUUGCACUGGACUUUGAGCCUGCUUGUGUAGGAUAGGUGGGAGGCUUUGAAGCGUGGACGCCAGUUCGCGUGGAGCCAUCCUUGAAAUACCACCCUGGCAUGCUUGAGGUUCUAACUCUGGUCCGUAAUCCGGAUCGAGGACAGUGUAUGGUGGGCAGUUUGACUGGGGCGGUCUCCUCCUAAAGAGUAACGGAGGAGUACGAAGGUGCGCUCAGACCGGUCGGAAAUCGGUCGCAGAGUAUAAAGGCAAAAGCGCGCUUGACUGCGAGACAGACACGUCGAGCAGGUACGAAAGUAGGUCUUAGUGAUCCGGUGGUUCUGUAUGGAAGGGCCAUCGCUCAACGGAUAAAAGGUACUCCGGGGAUAACAGGCUGAUACCGCCCAAGAGUUCAUAUCGACGGCGGUGUUUGGCACCUCGAUGUCGGCUCAUCACAUCCUGGGGCUGAAGCCGGUCCCAAGGGUAUGGCUGUUCGCCAUUUAAAGUGGUACGCGAGCUGGGUUUAGAACGUCGUGAGACAGUUCGGUCCCUAUCUGCCGUGGACGUUUGAGAUUUGAGAGGGGCUGCUCCUAGUACGAGAGGACCGGAGUGGACGAACCUCUGGUGUUCCGGUUGUCACGCCAGUGGCAUUGCCGGGUAGCUAUGUUCGGAAAAGAUAACCGCUGAAAGCAUCUAAGCGGGAAACUUGCCUCAAGAUGAGAUCUCACUGGGAACUUGAUUCCCCUGAAGGGCCGUCGAAGACUACGACGUUGAUAGGCUGGGUGUGUAAGCGUUGUGAGGCGUUGAGCUAACCAGUACUAAUUGCCCGUGAGGCUUGACC